AAAAGGAUAGCUUGGGGAACAAGCUCUCUUCAAAAGAAAGGUGAACAUUUUAAACAAAGAAUCUCUUCAAAGACAAAUAGUUAUAUGACUACUUUAAGUUCUAAUCCCUCCAUCCCUUCUUCUCCUGGUGGAAAGUCGCUUUGGAAAGAUAACAAGAUUUCUAAUUCUGACUCAGAAGGCCAUGGCUAUCCCGGAAAAGCUUUUGCAGUACAAAUAUCAUCGACUUUCACUGAAUCCUAUGAUGACAAAGCAGGCGAGGGACUCUUGGAUUACGUUACAGGGCGGCCAGAACAGCUGGAAGAAUAAUGAAAUCCUAGUAACAAGUGGAGAUUUGGAGUUUUUCACUACUAAGACUUGCUAUAUGGCUAAACUCGGACCCAUUUAGAGUGACUAAUCUCCAAGUACAAAACCAAUGUACAUCUUAUUCUAUUCAACCAUGUACGUGUAAUCUGUAUGUCUGGAUUCUCAGCUUCUUUAUAAUCUGUAGAAGGAACCGAGAAAAUAAUAAUGAACAAUUACUUGGUCAUGACAGCUGGGUUGUCUUGC